rnacentral:lncRNA from 1 species
CAGAACUCAUCACCUUUUCAUGAGUGGAUGAUCUCUACUACUGGUAAGCAUGGUAUGAAGCUCUCACUGAUGUCAAUAGCCGCACAAGUAUUUGGCCUCUACGGAUGGUCCACACGAAGCCCCUCGGAUCGAUCAGCCCUCUGUAGGAGUGCUAGCUCGCGCAGUCGACUUCUGAUGGUAGAUCUGACUUGAUCUUCUUCUUCGAUCAUCUCAAACCUUUCCAAUUUUAAAGAUGGAUCAGAGAAAGAUGCUGGAUGGUAGAGAAAAUUUAGAUGAAGACUCUCUUCUCUUUGAUUUUUUCUUCACUCAAAAAUUUAGAAUAGUUCUAGGUCUCUCACCUAAGAGGAGAACGGUCUCCUCUUUUGUUCACGCCAAGG